AUUUGCACACACCUGUUUCACAAUUUUAUUUUGCUCUUAAAUCACCCUCGAUUAAUCAUUGCUGUUCAAGUAGCUUUUUUUUCGUGUGACGCUUCGUCAUUUUUCGAGAAAAUCCAGUUUUUCAUUAUCGAUUAACGAGCUUAUGCUUGAACACGACUGAUUCCGAACCAGACAGAACAAAUAAUUAGCAGGAAGUUGUUCUACAUGUGAAAAUAGGUCGAACCUGUGGAAUACAAUUUUUCCACAAGACGUUUUGUUUUUAACGUCAAACUUUCAAAGUUUCAAAGUUUUGGAAAACUUAUAUCUUUGGACAAUUAACAUAUUAAAUAAUAAUAAUUAAAAUAUAUAACAAUAAUAAGCGUGUCGUGCUUUCCUCCGUGUGGUUCUCGCUUAAAACGCUUAGAAACAACGUAGUUUGGACUUGCCAGAAUGACUGCAUAUAAAGUUAUCUUCUUCGAUGGUUGUAUGCAUUUUGUUUUCGCUUUCGUUUUCGUUUUCGUUUUCGUUUUCGUUUUCGUUUUCGUUUUCGUUUCCGUACUUUGGAACCUCGAUAUUAAACAAUUGACGCGAAUAUUCCCCGACGAUUGUGCUACUUAACGACCGCGUGUCUCCUCGAUGCAACGAUGAUACAUACGACCGACCCAAGAUUCACGCAACAUGCUUACGUGAUCGAUGUGUCGUUGCUCCAGAGUAUCGAUCCCGGUGGUCGAGGUGCAAACUAAAUAAGUAAAUGAGGUAAACGACUAGCGAACGAACGAAACGAUCAACGGUCAAACUAUCUUGAACGUAAAACGUAAAAAUCGAUAAUCGUUGAGUUCGAGUCUGUUUCACGAUUGAACGUUAGCGAUGAAUAAGGAAUACUUUUGUCGUUCAAAGGAUUUUUCUUACCGAGACGAUUCGAUAAACCUGUACGAUAAAUAUUUACGAAGGAAAUGCAAAGAAGGUUAUUAAAUAUGAAAGAACUCGUUUACAUGGUGAAAAACGAGCCGUUGUCGCAAGAACGGUUGGAACGGGUAGACCGGUAGAAUUAAGAAUCAACUACCACAAGAACGAGAAGAAUUAAUUACGAAGAAAUAAUAUCUAUCAUUUGCGUUCCGCCCGACCACAAAAUACUUUCGCUGAUGAAUUCCACGUUGCGCGAUAGUUCUUACAAUUUAGACGAUUAACAGUAUCUUCUAAUUUACGAGUCUUUGAUGACUCGGAUGAUGAAGCGGUUCGUUUCGAGGGGAAUCACCGAACAAUUUCAUGUUGGCCUUGAGCAACUUUUUUUUAGUCGGAGCGACGGUGACGGGCGCUCAAGGUUCCCUAAUGAUGUCCUUGCUACUGUGAUUCGUAUCUCUCGUACCGUAUCUCAUUAAUCAUCAGCUACGUCAUACGUGAUUAUUUGCUAAUCUAUGAGAAAAGAGAAAUGUGUCAGAGAAUAUCAAACAUCGAUAGGUAAAAUAAGGUCAAGUAUGACAGAAAAAAAAACAUUUCAAGCGACAAAAAUCUCUCUUUUACCUAAAAACUUGAAGCAACUCCGUUUAAAGUUUCCCAAGUUGCGCCUCUAAUAAUAAAUUAAGUAAUUCCCCUAGGCUUGAAUAAUUUAACGAUUAUCUCGCUGCGCGUAUACUGUGAAAAUUCCACUUACUUCGCUGAAGGAAAUACCUACGUUCUACUUUUAUGCUUAGAUUGUGCAGCGACUUCCAAAAGAUUGGUAUCAAUUUUUAAUUAAGAAAUUAAACGCCCGAGAAACGAAAAACGGCGAUCGAAAAUACGCGUUUCGUCUUCGUUUCUCUAAAAUCGAAAUCCUAUCUGUAUACGAUAUAUGGUUAUAUCCGAGCACUAUACGAAGAAGCGCCACAAUUUUACAAAACGCUGUUAUAUUCGACAUUGUGUCUCAUUUCUUGGUUAUUCUUUUCCGUAUACUUGGAAUGUCCGGUCUCGAUGACCCGGCGAAUCCUAUGGUAACGUGUUCAUAGGUGGCGCGCGUCGCGACGCCCUGCAUCGACUUCAUUCGCUGCGAGACUCUUCCUCGUAUCGCACACGUUCUCUUCUCCAACUCAUCUCCCGCCGUUCAUUUCCAUUGGUUCGUGCCGCGAACUAUGACUUGGAUAUGACGAGAAUCUCGUGACGCCAAGUCAAUCAGAUGAACUCGACAACGUUGAAAUCUUGGCUGCUACGAGGAGAACUUGAGAAACUAGAACAUGUCGUUCUAGAAGGACGCGGGGCACGUCUGUUGGGUGAAUAUUCUCCAGACCUGAGAACCAGAGUCUUCCUAAAAGGACUCCCAAAUUAUUUGACGAAAAUCUCUUGCGUGCACGACGCGGUUUCACGUGGUUCUCUGGCGGAAACGCGAAAGCUCGUAUCGGAAGAACCUAAAAAAAAGCUGGCCAUUGCGAAAGAUCCAGCUGGCACUCCUUUGCUUCACAAGGCAGUCUACCACGAUCAUCAAGAUAUCGUCGAGUGGCUUGCGCACAAUUUUCCCAUCGCUGUUCAGCAGAAAGAUAAAGAAGGAAGAACCGCGUUGCAUUACUGUGCUGCUUGCAAAGAUCCCGAGGCAAUUUGGGAUGUUCUCAUAGAAAACGACUGUGACGCGAGCAUUAUCGACAAAAAGGGUAAUCCCGCUUCGUACUAUUUGGAACAUAGUUCGGAGGUCGAGCUACCGGAAGCGGAGAACAUGUCUCAUCGCAAGACCAACUCUGGCAAGGAACUUCUGGACUUCAAACCUUCGAAUAUAAGAAUAUGGAUCCACAAUCGAGAUAUAGGGAAACUACAACGGGUUCUGUGGGAAGGCCAUGGGAACAAAUUACGUAUGGAGACGAGCAACAAUCUGCGAGUAAAAAGAUUCUUAGAAGCCGUACCAUUCAUAAUGAGUACAACGAAAGAUAUUCACGCAGCUACGGUGAAUAACGAUUUAGAGGGGCUCAGGGGCACAGUCGAGGCCUCGUCACCCAUCGUUCUUUGCGCCAAAGAUGGCAACGGCUUGAACGCCUUGCACAAGGCCGCUGGUUUGGGUCACACGGAAAUCGCGAGGGAAAUUCUUGGAAAAUACCCUUUCGUUGUGGAGGCGCAGGAUAACGAUGGCAAGACGCCGUUACAUUAUGCGGCUGCAGCAAAGGACGAUGGAACGUUAUAUAAUUUGAUAACGGAAUAUGGGGCCGAUGAAAGCAAAUUAGAUCACAAACAAAAGGCGCCGGCGUUUUACAAAAAUCGGCCAUCGGAUAUUGACCAAUCGCUGUUAACCGUGAUACCGGAAGCACCUCGAGUUGCCGGAUCUUCGUAUCCCAAACACUGGGACUGGAGGAUUCUAGAAGCGGAGCAAGCUAUAUCCAAAGGAAUGAAAAAAGCCAGCAGUGCGGAUAUCGAUAGCGCAUUUGGUAGCGCGGAAUCGACAACGAAAAGCUUGAGUAGAUCUAUGGAACAAAUAAAAAAUGUCGAGGAGGAGGAUCACGAGAAGGAGCAACAGGGAAACGCGGAAGACACAGAAAAUCAUGAAGUUACAGAGGAUACAGAGACCAUUAAAAAUGCAGAAGAUGCAGAAGAAGAUGCAGAGGAUGCGGCUAAUAGAGAAGGCGCAGAACCUGCUGAAAAUACGGGAGAUACGGAAAAUACGGAAAAUACGGAAAAUACAGAAAAUACAGAGGAAGGGGAGGCAGGACGUGAGAACGCGGAACAUGCAGAAGAAUCCAAAGAACCAGAGACCACAGAAAACAACGAAGAACGCGAGGGAGUAAAUGUCGAAGACACUGAAGAGAGGUCGUCGGACGAUGACGUGGUGACGGGUACAGCGGUCCCGGAAACUGAGGAAAAUUCCAAUGCGGAAAACGAAGCUGCGGAACAGCUGAAGCCAAAGGGAAUAGAAGGUGAGGAAGAGAGGAAAGAAGAAGAAGAAGAAGAAGAAGAAGAAGAGAAAGAGGAAGAGGAAGAAGAGGAGAAAGAGGAAGGAGAGCCUGCAGACACGGAGGGAGCCCCGAAAAUGGAAGAGGCCACCGAGCAGCAGAAGGGGAACAAAGCGGAGGAAGAAGAAAGAAACGAGCCGAGUACAGGCGACUCUGGUGUUGAUGAUCCAGGGAACGACGAAGACCAGCAGGUAAUCGUCGGCGAACACGAGGAGCUUCCGGAAGCAGAAGUAAACGAGGGCAGCAUGACGGCGGACCCGGAAAUCGAGAAGCUGCUGGAGACCGGCAACAUGGAGCAAUUGGCCGCGUUAGUGUUAAGUGGCGAAGGCAGAAGACUGGUCGGCCGACAUUCGGGCAAUCCUGAGCUGCAGGCAUUCAUCGAUCGUGUCCCUUCCUACAUGGGGAAAAUUCAUGCUGUACACAUGGCAGCGCAAGAAGGAAACCUGAGAGAUCUGCAGAGCGCCUUAGAUCGGCGCAAGUUUGCCGUUGCGAGAGACGGAUCAUCGCCGCACGGUGCAACACCUCUUCACGUUGCUGUUGUAUUUGGAAACACCACCGUUAUCAGAUAUCUGGCAGGCAGGUUUCCAGAAACCGCGCAUGCGAUCGAUCUCGAUGGCCGAACUCCUUUGCACUAUGCAGCCACCAUAGCGGACAACGGCCAUUACUACAACCUUCUACUUCAUUUGGGUGCCAAUCCUUUAGUUCAAGACAAUUUGGGUCAAAAGGCGGACUAUUACAAACAGAACCAAUCGGAAUUUUCCCAUAAAUCGCUUCUCCGCGAUUUCGGAGUUAACGAGAAGCUCGCCGACGAGAUGUUGGUGGACAAAGUUCCCGGAGGCGACACGUAUUCCGCGCGUCGAGACAUAACCGAACCAGAGACGCUGGCCACCUUGGAGAGAUGUUUCCGUCUUCUGAUCGGCGUAAGACACGGUACGACGCCAAAAUCUGCUGGGAACUCCGGCACACUGAUCGGCCGUUGCCUGAAACGGCCCGUAUUCGAUCGUAUCAAGCACCGUGUGACACGCAUGGACCACAAUCUCUUUGAUGUGAUCUGGCCCGCUUUAAAAAAAUACGGUAACUCGGCUUACAACAGCAAGGCGAGCAGCGCUUAUUCGGUGGUCAGCAACAUGGACGAGCACGAGUCUGUGUCGGUGGUAGCGCCGGACUACGAAAGUUACAUCGUGUUCGCAGACUUUUUCGAUCCUUUGAUCAGGGACAUACAUUGCGUGACUGCCAGCGGUGAUCUUCCCGACCACCCUCCGCCGAGAUUCUUUUACAACGAGAACGACGACAGCGAAGAGAAUGCCGACACGUUGGACGAAGUGGCAGUGUCGGCGAUCGAGUCGUACGAUCUCGAUCCUCCGGUCAAAUACGUUCAAGCCGCUGUAAUAGAGUGUUGCAGAAAUCUGGAAAAUUACACGCUUCCCUUGACGCUUACGGUGAACCAGCUGGAAGAGGUGGAACGAGAGAUCACCAGUGAAUUGAUGAGCCAAGAGAUCUCGGCAAUGAUGGCGGAGGGUAGCAGCGAGGACGAGCCCGGAACUUACUUUACCCUCAGCGAAAUUCUAGAUCAACCGAGUCCGAUCAGGGCCCAACUGGCAGCAGCCGGUUUGCUAUUGCCUAUUACCGAUCUUGAAGUUCACGAUGACAAACGUCUUCAUGGGAAGCACUGGCCAUACGGCCGAGGAGUUUACGUCGCCUCUGCCGGUGACCUGGCUGCUUGGGUGAACGUUCAGGAUCACCUGAGGGUUAUUUGUCGCACCAGCGAGAACAGACCGGGUUUGAUCGGUCGUGGCUACGUAAGACUGGCAAAGGUGAUGACGAUACUCGACGAAAGAAUGAAAUUCAAGAGAGACAAGAAGCUGGGCUUCCUCGGCGCGCGACCGUACGCCGUUGGCAAUACUCUUAGGUUUAACGCGAUAAUCAGGUUCCCGGAAUUGUCGAAGGAAUUCGAUCAUUUGAAGCACCUGUGUGUAGUUCGUGGAUUAAGUAUACAAGAAACAGCGAAACGGGAUAUGGUUCGAAUCGGUAACCAGCAAUCGUUGAGUAUUACCGAGCUGCAGACCCUUCAAGAUUUCUCCAGAGCUGUCCUGAAUAUUCUGGCGUUGGAGAAGGAACUAUCGAUAAACAAUUCGUUGAAGAUUGCAACAUUGAUCGCGGGAAUUUUCCGCAAACGGAACAGUGCUAAACGUUUCCAGAAUUAAUCGUUGUCGAGAGGGGACGCUACUAAAGCGACCAACGACCAACUCUGUCUUUCGUCGUCCAUGUUAUUCAACGCUCCUAUACUAUCAAUUUCAUUCCCUUUUUCUUUCUUUCUUCUUUUUUCUUUUUUCCUUUUUUCUUUUUCCUUUUUCCUUUUUCUUUCUUCCUUUUUCUUUUUUCUCUUCUCUUUUUUCUUGAUAACCGAAUAAUACGCUUAUACGUGGAAUCCUUCUGUGGCAAUUCCGUAUAUCGAGCCAAUACGCCGAUCGACCGUCCAUAAGCAAACUAAAGUCGGAAGUGCAAAGUGGAAAGUCGAAAGUGAGAGGAGAGGAAAGAAAAGAGACGGGUUGAGACGUUGGAAAGACGUGUGCGAACGUUAUUCUAUUUCUCGUGCACCGAAUUAAUUAAACGAAAAUGAAAGAUUAGCUGCUCGGAGGGACGCUGGAUUUUGUUCGUUAGGUUAGUAAAAUGAACGUUAUUGGUACAUGGGCAAUUGUUAAGACGCUUUGACAUGUUGUCGCACGACACCAUGCUUCUGUACCUACACGUAAAGUGUGUAUACGUGCCUAAAAACGGGCUAAAACCGGUUACACAGAGUUUCUAUAUAAAUUGGAUAAUAUCGCAAGAUGAUUUAUGUGUCAUGCACGAGCUGUUCCAUGUUCACACGAAACAGAAAUGGCGUAGCACGUGUCUUUCCAACUUGAACCGACGAACCGUACGUUUUUACGAGUGGCUACUGUACGCGAACGAUUAUACGUAAACGAAAAUCCUCUUUCGUUUCUAUCGCUUCUAUCGCAUCUAUCGCAUCUAUCGCAUCUAUCGCAUCUAUCGCAUCUAUCGCAUCUAUCGCAUCUAUCGCUUCUAUCGCUUCUAUCGCUUCUAUCGAUGUAACCCCUAUCGUAAAAUUCUCUUACUCGUGUGUAAACCUGCUUCCGCAUACGGUACAACGAGGAUCGUUUUCCAAAGUGCAAUCAACAGCUGUGCACUCAAUGUCCACAAUGCACCCGCCGUAUUUUGUGAAAAAUUUGCUUCUUUCUUAUUUUCUAACAAGAUAGAUAAGAUAAAUAAGAAAAAACGAGUAAAGCAUUAGGAACGUAUUGCGCCUCGAUCGAUGUAAAUUAAUUAAAUCGAUGUAAAAGAAAAGCCAGAGAUUCCAUUCGAAUAACAAUUUAUUACGCUUUAUAAAGCGAAGAAAUAGACGACAAGCCGGUUGAUAUAGCGAUAUUUCGA